CAGUGUUCAAUAAACUGUACAUCGGUAUAUCGAGGAAUUGUUACUUCGAAGUAAUCUUCGUUUCGUGGCCUUGCAUUUCGCCUUCUAUUUUCCAGGUUAUAUGGCACUUGAUGGCCUAAAUCUUGUACCACAUUAUCUAUUAUAUCGUUUAAAUUUAAACCAUCAUCCAUCGCAAUUAAUAAUAUAGCAUCCAUCAUUUAAAUAUUUAUAUUUUACAGUAUACUUGGAAAUCUUAUUAAAACAAACACAGUUUUUUCUAUUAUAAUAUAUCGCUGUGAUCGCAGCCAUCUUGGCGGUAGCACCAUACACAAAAAGUGCGUUCAGCAGAACCAGUAAGCUGCUGGGAGCAUAGCGUAAAACGCUCACUGAGCGAUUUUCUCUGCUGAACGCGACCAAUGUAAUCGUGUGUGUGCGUGU